UGCAGCUUUAUUUUCAAAAGGAGCUUUUAUACCCUGAGUUACACAUUUCCAGAAGUGAAAGAUGCAGAGUCAUGCAGAGUCAGCUCAACAUUCCAUCAGUUUUGACCUUUAUUGAAACCAGGAUGUUUUCUGCAUACCUUUCCAUUUACAAGGGUCUUAUGUUAUGUACAUUAUCUUCUGACCCGGAGGCCUGUUGACAUUUUAUGACCCUUUUCUGAUAAAGGUUGGUCAACCAGAGAACUUAUUUUCCUUUAAAGUGUUUUUUCUUUAUUUUUCCAAUCUGUGUCACCCCCAGAAAGUACUAAAUAAAGUUACAUUCUUAUGGAGCAAAGGUGCAGUGGGUUACAAAAAGAAAGAACUUAUUAACUCAAAGGUCUUACAUUGCUAAUGCCAAGGCUACUACUUGUUUUUCCUACAUUCCAACUAUAUUAACUAAUGCACUCCCAGGCACACAAUAGAUAAGGGAUAUGGAAGCUUGGCAGCGAGCAUUGGCUCAACAGUGGAACCCUUCACCAGUACUGUUCUAAUAAUUUUGCACCCCUCGAAGGGCUCUAUGCCCAUUAGGACUUUUAGAAUGCUUAGGCUUCCCGUGCCUUUCAUGGUUGGGAUGUUGUGAACAAUCAUGUGCGUUAGUUGCAAGAGUGUGGAUAAACCUGUCAAGCAAGCUAAAAUGCCAAUAGAGGGGUUUGAAUUGAAAUACUCCUUUCGUGCCCAGGAGACUUAUUAACUAGAGCCCUAAGUUGAUUUUCUUCAGAGAAUAGUGGUCGGGGACAGACGCCUGUUAAUGUCAAAAGAGUUGGUGAAAGGCAUAAUAUAGGUAACAAUAGACAGACAGAUUUUGGUUUCAGGGUAGAUGCUCGAGCAGGUCCAGGGAGUCCCUCGAGUCCUGAUCCGCCUUGCCUGUCAGGUCUCCUCCUCAUGACCUUGUCAUUGGUGGGGUCUCCUGUGCUGGCUCCUGGCAAUUAUGAUCCACACAAAGGCUUUGGCAUAAUCAGUAAAGCAGAAAUAGAUGUUUUUCUGGAACUCUCUUGCUUUUUUGAUGAUCCAGGGAUGUUGACAAUUUGAUCUCUGUUCCUCUGCCUUUUCUAAAACCAGCUUGAACAUCUGGAAGUUCACAGUUCACGUAUUGCUGAAGCCUGGCUUGGAGAAUUUUAAGCAUUGCUCUAUUAGCGUGUGAGAUGAGUGCAAUUGUGCAGUAGUUCGAGCAUUCUUUGGCAUUACCUUUCUCUGGGAUUGGAAUGAAAAUUGACCUUUUCCAGGCCUGUGGCCAUUGCUGAGUUUUCCAAAUGUGCUGGCAUAUUGAGUGCAGCACUUUCACAGCAUCAUCUGUUAGGAUUUGAAAUAGCUCAACCGGAAUUCCAUCACCUCCGUGAACUUUGUUCGUAGUGAUGCUUCCUAAGGCCCACCUGACUUUUCCUUAAUUUAAUCACACCCACAAAUUCUCUUUUUCCAUGUCAAGUAACAUAAUCACAAACUCCAGGGACCCAGAUGUGGGCAUCUUUGGGGAAGCAUUAGUCUAUCACAGCCAGUCUCCCCAGUGAACACAUUUCCGCAAGCAUAUCAGUCAGUGGUGGCUGCUCCAUUCUGAAAGUGAUCCAGGUGAAAGCAAGUUCCAGAUUCUACCAAGAUGCUCCUCUAGCAGGUCAGCCUCUGCAGCUACCCAGGAGGACAGGAGGAGAUGGAGAUGGAGCAUCCUGGUCACUAGUGGGGCCCACAUGGGGAGGUUGGGGCUUGGACAGCAAGAUCUUUAAGUAUUACUGUCCUCUCUCACACAUUCAUGAGUUUACAUGAGCUUACUUAAAGGGUAGACUGGCUUCAAAUACAGGCCAGGUGAUGCUAACCAAGCCCCAAUGGCCUCCUCUCAUACU
ensembl:lncRNA